rnacentral:misc_RNA from 1 species
AAUAAAAGAGCCGAGGCUGAG